GACGAACGCUGGCGGCGUGCUUAACACAUGCAAGUCGUACGGUAAGGCCCUUUCGGGGGUACACGAGUGGCGAACGGGUGAGUAACACGUGAGUAACCUGCCCACAACUUUGGGAUAACGCUAGGAAACUGGUGCUACUACUGGAUAUGUGCUCCUGCUGCAUGGUGGGGGUUGGAAAGCUCCGGCGGUUGUGGAUGGACUCGCGGCCUAUCAGCUUGUUGGUGGGGGAGUGGCCUACCAAGGCGGCGACGGGUAGCCGGCCUGAGGGGGUGACCGGCCACAUUGGGACUGAGAUACGGCCCAGACUCCUACGGGAGGCAGCAGGGGGGAAUAUUGCACAAUGGGCGCAAGCCGGAUGCAGCAACGCCGCGUGCGGGAUGACGGCCUUCGGGUUGGAAACCGCUUUCAGCAGGGACGAAGCUUUUUGUGACGGUACCUGCAGAAGAAGCACCGGCUAACUACGUG
rnacentral:rRNA from 1 species